UGAUGUUGGGUGACCGUGCUCUGGGC
rnacentral:piRNA from 1 species